CACUACUGAGGAGUCCCGCAAUAAGACGAAACGGCCGUCCAGGGC
rnacentral:hammerhead_ribozyme from 1 species